rnacentral:rRNA from 1 species
AUCAGACACGGUGUCAGCCGCCGCGGUAAUACAGAGGGUGCAAGCGUUAAUCGGAAUUACUGGGCGUAAAGCGCGCGUAGGUGGUUCGUUAAGUUGGAUGUGAAAUCCCCGGGCUCAACCUGGGAACUGCAUUCAAAACUGUCGAGCUAGAGUAUGGUAGAGGGUGGUGGAAUUUCCGUGUGUAGCGGUGAAAUGCGUAGAUAUAGGAAGGAACACCAGUGGCGAAGGCGACCACCUGGACUGAUACUGACACUGAGGUGACGAAAGCGUGGGGAGCAAACGAGGAUUAGAUACCCUGGUAGUCCACGACCGUAAACGAUGUCAACUAGCCGUUGGGAGCCUUGAGCUCUUAGUGGCGCAGCUAACGCAUUAAGUUGA